UGAUACUCGAACAGGAGUUAUUUCUAGUGAUAGUUUCACCAGUAUCGACACACGACGCGAAGCAUACAAAGAUGAUCAACUCAUAUAUGCGUCACAAGCCAAACAAGUGUUCUACAUCAGAGUGCCAAACAAUAACCAUCAGUGUGUUGUCGAGCAUGUUAAUCAUCGAAGUAUUUGGGAUCUACCAUCGAACGAUGACCUUGUUCAAAAUGUUGACAAUGUCUCACACGAAAAUGUAGACGAUGUCGAUGUACUUCAAAAUAUCUCUUCAUCCGAUGCUCCACUUUUUAUCGAUUUCAGCAUGUACUUUCAAAACAUUCCUAGAGUCANUCAGCAUGUAUUUCAAAACAUUCCUAGAGUCAUUGUUGAUGUAUAAAGUGCAUCUGAAGUUCCUCCGCCAACUAGUAGAGUUAAUGAUGUUUCUGAUUGCGAGACUGAUUACGAUGACACCGAUUCUGACUAUGAUACCGAAGAAGACACUGAAGGAUAUGAGGAAGAUUCUGAUUAGAAUAGUUCUUAUGUAAUGUGUAUUUGUAAUAUGUGUUUGUAAUAUGAACUUUAUUUGGAUUUCUAGUUUAAAU
rnacentral:lncRNA from 1 species